GAUGAACGCUGGCGGCGUGCCUAAUACAUGCAAGUCGAGCGAACGGACGAGAAGCUUGCUUCUCUGAUGUUAGCGGCGGACGGGUGAGUAACCCGUGGAUAACCUACCUAUAAGACUGGGAUAAAUUCGGGAAACAGGAGCUAAUACCGGAUAAUAUUUUGAACCGCAUGGUUCAAAAGUGAAAGACGGUCUUGCUGUCACUUAUCGCUGGAUCCGCGCUGCAUUAGCGAGUUGGUAAGGUAACGGCUUACCAAGGCAACGAUGCAUAGCCGACCUGAGAGUGUGGUCGGCCACACUGUAACUGAGACACGGUCCAGACUCCUACGGGAGGCAGCAGUGGGGAAUCUUCCGCAAUGGGCGAAAGCCUGAUGGAGCAACGCCGCGUGAGUGAUGAAGGUCUUCGGAUCGUAAAACUCUGUUAUUAGGGAAGAACAUAUGUGUAAGUAACUGUGCACAUCUUGACGGUACCUAAUCAGAAAGCCACGGCUAACUCCGUG
rnacentral:rRNA from 1 species